rnacentral:lncRNA from 1 species
GGAACUGCCACAGCCCUCUUUGGGCACAGGGUUCAGACAGUACGCCGGAGCGAAGGGGCGCCACUACAACCUCUUGAGGUCCUUAUCCAGGACCCAUGCGGCCCGGAGUGCAAAGCCUCCUGGCGAAGAACAGCAAGAGCCCGCGGAAGGGACAGCGCGGAUGGCCCGAGCCCUGGACCUGGGGAGCUGUGGCCUCAAGUGGACCGCGCCCCCCUGCCGGCUUGGCGCCUGACCGGGCCGCGACCCCAGACUCCCGCGGAGGGGCCGGGGCAGGGACGGAGCAAAGCCGAGAGGAGCAGGACUCACUAGUCCCCCAGAGGACCAAGACCCCGGCGUUUCGGGUUUACCAAGCACGGCCACAUCCCAGUCUACUUUGAGCUUCACAGCCACCCUUGAGUCAGGCAAGGAAGGUAACAUUCCUUUUCCCAUUUCAGCAGGUAGAAAAUUCAAGCUCAGAGAGGGGAGGUAUCUGCAGAGAGGGGAAGUCACCCUGCAGGUAGGAAGCAGCAGAGUCCCUACUCGGCCCGACACGCUAGCACGGCCGACUGGGGCGCGGCGUGGAUUCCUCUAGGCUGGGGUCACCAACUUCUCAAGGGGCAAAGGAGAGUCCUAGCCCCCGCCCAAAGAAUUUGUGCCUGUUCAUGAUGAAUCACGCUAGACACGUUUGUCACCCGUUUGUGCUCUUUCAUCACAGCUUCUUCUCUUUCUUACUUCUCUCCUGGGGGCCAAACUGGGAAGGAAAGGCUAAGCCACGGGGCUUCCUGCUUCGUGCUUGUGGGUUUCUGGGGUCCUACUAACCACUCCUCUAAUCGAAUGUCCUGAAGCCCAGCGACUCGACGGAGAGGCCAAAGGUGCGAGACCACUAGCCAAACAGGCUUCUAGUCCUCACCUCCCGGCAAUUCGCUGUGUGAAGGUGGGCGAGUCAUGUCCCAUCUCUCGAGUCCCCAUCUUAGAGCCGGUCCCCAGCAGACCUUUAAGCUUCCUUCCUACUCUGCCAUAUGGCUCUGAGCUCCGGUGCAAAGGCGGCUGGGCAGUGGGUCGCGCGGACCUUGCCCAGAGUGGUCUGUCUGGGCCGCGCACUGCUGGCUUAGCUGCCUUUUCACUCUCGGGACUCAACAGUGGACAUUGCACCUGGGGAAGAAAUGGCCGCGCGGAAGUUAUUUAAGGACUCUUCCUGGAAGGAGUCACCUGAGCGGACCUGAAUUCCAUCUGAGGACGGAGGACAGAUUCCGGGCCCUGACCCUGGCCCUGCUCUUCGCGCAGAUCCAGGACUGGCUAUCAGUCGCUCUGAGGAUGCGACCUACUUGUCGCCAGCUUCCACUUGGUUCCGCGCCAGGACAGGUUUUACUUUCAUUUCUCCCGCGCGCGCCUCCGACUGCUGGGGAGGUCAAGGACAGCUAGGCGUCGGCCCACGGCCAGGGAAGGUCCCGUGGUCUGGACUCGUUCCUUCCAGUCUCCACCAGUCCUGGGGGGUGGGGCGCGGCGGGGGUGUUCGUUCUCCAGAGAACUCUGCGACUGUACCUCGCUGCCACCUCGCUGCCUCCUCGCUGCCCUUUACAAAAGCUCGUGAUUCCGUGGGGGAAACUUGAGCUGUGGCUCUGCCAGGAGGAUCGCGAAGCAAGUGCCCUUGGUUCAAACUCCUCUUUGAGCUGCAGGCAGCUUCAAAAAGGAAAGCAAGCCCAGGAGUGUAGGGAGACUCAGAGGCUAGGCUCUGCCAGCCUCGGGUGCCUAUGCCAGCAACCUCUUGGCUGUGACAAGAAUUCCCACCUGAGAGUCUUGGCAUGCACUUUAUCAGCCUGGUGCACUUUGCCGCUCUGGCACUUAGAGAUCUGUCACUUGAGAACCAAGUCAAUUCUUUAAGUAAAAUCUUGGAUUGGCAGCUCAAAGUAUUUUCCUAGAAAGCCCCUAUCUUGGAGUGAGUGAGUGUGUGCGCGAGCGCGCACCCCGCUUGCAUGGAGAUGUGGUUUCAUCAUGUUGCCCACGCUGGUCUUGAACUCCUGAUCUCAAGAGAUCCACUCGCCUUGGCCUACCAAAGUGCUAGGAUUACAGGUAUGAGCCACUGUGCUCAGCCAAGAAGCAAUUCUGAUUUAUAAGCCUGAAUGAAUUGAUAGUUUUUUCAUUCUUUCAACAAAUAUUUACUGAUUAUAUAUUAUAUACCCAGCACUGUGCUAAGUUCUCAACAUACAGUAAUCACCAAUGCAGUCAUCAACAAACUUACCCUCAACGAGCUUACAGCCUAGUGACGUAGCCAGAUAUAAACAAAUCCUUAUCAGAAUUAUGUAUUUACAUGAUUAUAAACUGUGUUAAGUAUUCUGAAGAAAAAGCAAGACUAGGGGGAUCUAAUAUUCGAAAUGGAGGAAACAGCAUGUGCAAACACUCAGAGAUGGGAAAGAACUUGGUACAUUAGAAAAAAUGAAAGGAGUCCUGUUUGAUAGGAAUGCAUAGAAUGAUAGAGAAAAGAGGCCUGAAAUGAGAUUAAAGAGGUCAUCAGGGUCAGAGUAAAUAGGACCCUUUCCGACAUGAAGAUUUUGCACUUUAUUUAUGGUGACAUGGAAAACUAUUGACAGGUUUGAAGACAGGAGAGACAUGAUCUGAUAUACAUUUAUUUAAACAAUCGUUUUGGCUAUGGAAUGUGGUAGAUAGAUUAGAAAGGUGCAAGAAAGGAAGCAGCACGGUGGUGGUACUCUGGAGAGACUGCAGAGAGUCUAGUCCCCCCAUAACAUUUAUUAUACCCCCUCCCCACAUACACAUACUCAUUCCAUCCUAAAGUUCACCAGCUUCACUGACAUACACUCUGUUCAGUAGCACACGGCCUGCUCUCAGAAGAGCCCACACUUGGUGGAAUGCUCUGCUGAAGCUGUUUUGAAAUUCUCCAACAUUUCUGAACAGGCAGUCCUACAUUUUCAUUUUGCACUGGACUCCACAUAUUAUGUAGCCAGUCCUGCUCAUCAAACAUGUGAUCUAAGUAAAAGUAGCUUGUAAACUCUUACAGUACCUAUAUAUACUGUAGCUGCUAAUGUCAGGGGUACUUCAAAUGAAUGUUAAGAUUCAACCAUUCAUCUCAUCACACAUGGACCGCAACUGCAGGACACUUCCUUUUUUUUUUUUUUUUUUUUUGAGAUGGACUCUUGCUCUGUUGCCCAGGCUGGAGUGCAGUGGUGCCAUCUCGACCCACUGCAAGCUCUGCCUCCUGGGUUCACGCCAUUCUUUUGCCUCAGCCUCCUGAGUAGCUGGGACUACAGGUGCCCGCCACCACUCCUGGCUAAUUUUUUGUAUUUUUAGUAGAGACAGGGUUUCACCGUGUUAGCCAGGAUGAUCUCGAUCUGCUGACCUCAUGAUCCGCCCAACUUGGCCUCCCAAAGUGCUGCGAUUACAGGCGUGAGCCACCACACCUGGCCAGGACACUUUCUACGUCAUCUAUGAAGCCUUUUCUUUGCACCCCAAACACACACUCAAGGUAGAAAUGGUGUGUUUGCUAUACAAAUUUAAUUUUGAGACAGGUUCAAUAACCUGCUUACUGUCCUUAACUUUUACCUAUAUAGAAAGUUUGAAACCAUCGGUGAAGCUGGGAAAACAGUUAAGAACCUAUUGCAAUAAUAAAGGUAGAAGGUGAUAACGGCUCAAACUAGUGGGGUGGCAGUGAGGGUGGAGAGAAGCGGACAUAUUUGGGAAGUAGGAACAAUAGGACUGAGUGAUGAAUGUGGGGCUGAGAGGCAGCUGUCAAGGGUAAGAUUCAUUAAAUUUCUUGCUUAGGGAACUAAAUGGUUGAAAAUAUAGCAAUGGAUCAGGGAAUUUUCCACCACAGCUGCAUAGUCUCCUUUGUUAUGCUUUGGUAGAGACGAUCUGAAGAGGCCUCAGCCCUGCCUGGUGAUGUUUGCUCAAGUCUGACUCUCAUACUGCCUCCUUGAACUACUGUGGCUAACCACAGCAAGCACUUGAAAUGACUGUACAGAUCAAACCACUUACUCCGCAAUAGCCCACUAGGGGCAAUGGGCUGAUAAGCCUUGCUCACUGAUAAUUAGCUCUAUUUUGUCUUUUUUAAAAUUUUUUAUUUUAAUUUUUUGAACGGGAGUUUCACUCUUGUUGCCCAGGCUGGAGUGCAAUGGCGCGAUCUUGGCUCACUGCAACCUCUGCCUCCUGGGUUCAAGCAAUUCUCUUGCCUCAGCCUCCCAAGUAGCUGGGAUUACAGGCACCUGCCACCAUGCCCAGCUAAUUUUUGUGUUUUUAGUAGAGACAGGGUUUCACCAUGUUGGUCAGGCUGGUCUUGAACUCCUGACCUUAGGUGAUCCACCUGCCUCGGCCUCCCAAAGUGCUGGGAUUACAGGUGUGAGCCACCGCAUUCCAUCUAUUUCGUCUUCUAAAGCAAAAAAGAAAGGUAUCUGCCACAUACACAUCAUGAUAGUGUUACAUACCCUUCUUCCCUUCCUGCUCCCAUCAGCCUUCAGGAAAACAAAUCUGGGCUUGCUUUACUCUCUCUCUCUUUGGUGAAAGGUGAUGGUGGUUAUUGUAGGGGAUGGUCUGGCUUUCAGCCAACCUCAGUAAUCAGGCUGCCUUGUCAGGGCUUAUCAGUUUCAACAGGCUGGCAGCUGUUGGCUGAGAAGCAAAGCACAGCUUUAGUGUAUACAAAAUAUGUUCACAUGUAUAUACAAACACACAGUGCCUUUCUACAUGUACCUAGGAUAUGUUAAAAUCUCUGUGUGACAAAAUGGGCAUUUGCAAAUGGACUGGAAGUCUACUUAUGACAGUAACAGAUGAAAUAUGCCUAAAAGCAGAAUAGCAUUUGAUUCUAGGCUUAAAAACAAUAAACUUUGAUUUUAAAAAAUUAAAAUAAUUUAAAUGAGUACUUGCAAAUGAAAUAAAAGCCAAGACAUUUAAAAGGUAAAACAAGACCCCUUACCACUACAAAAUUAACUCAAAAUGGGUCAAAGUACUAAAGAGCUAAAACUAUGAAGGAAACCAGUAAAUCUUCAUCUCACCUUUAAUAUGGCAAUAAUUUUUUAGAUAUAACACUAAAAGCAUAGAAACAAACUAAAAAAGUGGACUUUAUCAAAAUUAAAAACUUUUUUGAGCCAAAGGACAUUAUCAAGAAAAUGAAGUCUGGGUGUGGAAGCUCAUGCCUCUAAUCCUAGUACCUUGGGAGGGCUAGGUGGGAGGAUUGCCUGAGGACAGGAGGUUAAGACCAGCCUGGGCAACAUCAUGAUACAACAUCUCUACAUAAAAAUAAAAUGAAAAAUAAAAUAAAAAUAGGAAAUAUUUGGGGGGGGGAAUAGGGCAUAACAAUUUUAAAAAGAAAAUGAAAAGACAACGUACAGAAUGGGAAAAUAUCUGCAAAUCAUAUAUCUGACAAGGACUAGUAUCCAGAAUAUAUAAAGAACUCUUACAACUCAACCUCAAAAAGACAAAGAAUCAAUUAAAAAAUGGGCAAAGGACUUGAAUAGACAUUUCUCCAAAGAAGAUUUAGCAAUGGCCAAUAAACACAUGAAAAGAUCCUCAACAUCAUUAGUCUUUAGGGAAAGGCAAAACAGGACCACAAUGAGAUAUCACUUCACACUAAGAUAGCUAUAACAAAACAUAAACAACAGGAAAACAAGAGUUGACAAAGAUGCAGAGAAAUCAGAACCCUAGUGCAUUGCUGGUGAAAAUGUAAAAUGAUGCAGCCACUGUGGAAAACAGUAGUAACAGAACUACUUAAUCCAGUAAUUCCAAUCCCAAGAAUAUAUCCCCAAAAUUGAAAACAGGUACUCAAAUACAUGUACAUGCAUGUUUGAAGCAGCACUAUUCACAAUGCCAAAAGGUGGAAACAACCCAUAUGUCCAUAUGGGUUGUUCCAGAUAAACAAAAUAUGGUAUAUACAUAUGAUAUGGUUUGGCUGUGUCCUCACCCAAAUUUCAUCUUGAAUUGUACCCCAUAAUUCCCACCUGUCAUGGGAGGGAUCCGGUGGAAGGUAAUUGAAUCAUGGGGGCGGGUCUUUCUCCUGCUGUUGUGGUGAUAGUGAAUAAGUUUUAUGAGAUUUGAUGGUAUAAAGGAGAGUUCUGCAUAAGCUCUCUUGUCUGCCGCUUUGCUCUCCUUGCCUUCCGCCAUGUGGAACUGUGAGUCAAUUAAACCUCUUCUCUUUAUAAAUUACCUAGUCUCGGGUAUGUCUUUAUUAGCACCGUGAGAACAGUCUAACACAAUAUACAAUGGAAUAUUAUUGAGUCAUAAAAAAUAAUGAAGUAUUGAUACUUCAAUGUGAUGCUACAACCUUGUACUGUAUCUGCCCGUAAACAAGCUGAGAACA